rnacentral:lncRNA from 1 species
AUCACAUCGUGAUGGGAGUCUACGCGCUCUCCUACCCGCUGGUAGGCUACACCAUUGGGCUGAUGCAGUCUGCCAAUUGGUACUUCAACGACUUCACCGUGUGGGCUGUGUUCCUGCUUCUGCUCCUCAGCAGCACGGAUAGCCUCACAGCUUGCCGCCUCGACGACAUCGACAACUGGAAGAACAUCUACGUGAAACAACUCUUUAAGGGGUUCUUGUUGGUGUUUAUCAUUCUAAAGUUUGGCCGUCAGAUGAUGAUGAGGAAUUUGGAUGCCGACUACCUGUGGUACCCGCUCUCAGCCAUCCUGGUCGUUAUCGUCCUCAAGUCAUAUCUGAUGAUAGCUUCCAUGAGGAUGGUGUAACACACUAAAAAAAAAAUCAAAGGCCCAGCCAGCCCAACCCUUUUCCCUGGCCCGUUGCCCCCUCUCCCAUCUUAUCCAGACCAGUCCUCUCUUCCUUCUCACGUUUCUUCCUCCUUCCCUGCUCUCCCAUGGCUUCCCCUCCCUAAAUCCCCUCUCUACAGCAGCAAACCCUUGGGGGGAACUAGCAAAACGGAUCGAGGACAACAAGAGGAGCAAGAAAGGUGCAUCUUCCAUGUAGAUCGGUCCUUUCCCCAUAUCUUCCCGCUGCCCUAGGGUUUGGGGAACGACUAAGGUGAGGUGAAUCCACUUUAGAUCUGCUAAUUGAUGUUUUUAGGAGGUUCUUGGUCCUGAGGAUUAGUGGAUUUGUUGGGGAAAACACGGUUUGAAGGUCGAUUUAAGGUGUGCUGUCCUGUAGCUCGGGCAGUGCUGCUGUCCUUGUAGAUUUGGUGACCUAAACGAUUUCUCCUCCAAAAGUGGAUCAUACAAAAGUUGUAGAGAAUUAUGAGAUGUAACUGCUGUCCAAGUUUCAUAUUUUUGGUGGAGUAUACCUUCAGUUAUUGAAUAUUGUUUGGACGCUGUUUCUGAAUGUCCAGAUUUUUGACAGCAGAUGUUCAGAGAUGUAUUAGAUGAUCUUAAGGAUGGAAUUCGUGGAAACCCAUAAUAACAAAGUUUUAGGUUUCUCAGAGAUAUAUGUCCUGACAAAAUUUUAGAAUUUUUGGACAAGGGGUUUGGGAGAUAUGAAUUUUUGUAUGCUGCUGCCCGAAAUUUCAGACAGAUUCUGUACUUCACAUUCAACUGCAGUUUUACCCCUCUUUGGAUUAUGCUAAAAAUAAAGGAUCUGAACAAAGUUAUAAGAUUUCUCCCUUAAUUUUCUAAGAUAUAUUUGCUUGCUGUCAUAUCUUUUGUAAUUUUAAAGAUACAAAAAAGUGAAGCAGCACUGCUGCGGUUAACCUAGGUGAUGUUUACCAUCGUCGCUUGUUUGACCGGUUGGGCUAUAUGGGUGCUUUACUUGCUGUGUGCACAUGGUUGUUUGAGGAUAUGUUCUGAUCUUAUUGUGUCAAAACAGGUGGUAACGCUCCGGAUCACGCUUAGAGCGGCUAUCUCCUUCAUUGGGAGGCAAGUAACGUAGCGGUGGUUGCUACAAGCUUUAAUUUGCUAUUUUUCCUACCUCCACCUUAAAUUUCAGAAUGAUAACUUAUCCAAUAUCAUCCAUUCAAUUACAAGUUUAUGCACAUCUUACUGUUGUUAUUACAUAUGCCUUAUUCUUUACUUUAUAACUUGGUAAUGGCUCUUGUUAGCAUAAUUAUGAUGAGGUUUAUGUUGUCAAAUGAGGAGAGACUUAUCUGGUAUAUGCGGUGUAUACUCUCUUUGUGCGAUCUGUCUUGGCAUUGCAUUUCAUUGCAUCACAAUGCAUGGCAUAUGGAGUUAAUUCGCCGCUUGAUAGCCGCGACCGUACCGGUACAGCAUCGUUUAUUGGGCAUAACGGUGCAGCUUCAUACUUUGUUGAGUAUGAAGGCAGGAGACAUGGCAUUUGCAUUGCAUUUGCAUUUAGGGUGCUAUCGGUUUUCUAUGGUAUUUAUUUGGCAGUGGUGGUGAGAAGUGAAUUUUCUCCAAGGUUUGGUGACGAAUUGGUUUUAUUUAUGUAUGAGGGUGUUGGAGUUAUUAUUAUUAUUAUUAUUCAUUGAGGAGAUACACUUACUGAUAAUAGUUAAACCAUGGUCUAAUGAACUUGUAGUUUAAAUAGCUUGUUAAAGCUAGUUACUUGCUGAGAUUUUAUAUCUCACCCCUAUUUUUUUGUUAUCCUCUCAGGUACUUGAUGGAUGGAUGCUUUGCUUGGGGGGUUGGGAAGUAGCAGCACGUCAUACACUUCUCUUUAAUCAAAAUCCUCUAGUGUGAUACUGUAAUAUUUAAGUCCUUCUCUAUGAGAGUCUAUUUGUUGCUUAAUGAUGGUUAAGCUUUGUUAAACCUUGCCUUAAUCGUUUGAAUUUCAUGUUAGGAUCUUUUAUUUAUGCUAGUGUGCUUUAUCUAUUUUCAUAUCUUAUUGUUUCUUGCUUCCGCGGUGUUCCUGAUUUAGGGAAGAUGCUGUCAAAAUCUGUCCCUUUUGUCCGAUGUGGCUUAGUAGCAUCCUAAGGUGGCGUUUGUUUUUCUUGGGGUGUUACAGUUGGUAAUCAGAGCUUAGGUUAAUUUAAUCCUAGGAAAAAAUAAAGUCUAAUUUGACACACUUGCACUUGUAGGUUGGGUACGGGUACAUUGGUGUGUAUGGAUUAUUUUGUCUUUAUGCAUACUUUAAAUUGUUGGAGCUUGAUAUUUGUGUUGUCUGUGUCUUGUGGUGGCUGCAGUUAUGCCGCCUAAGAAGCAAGGUCGGGCACGACCAGCGAGCGGUGCCCAAGCUGAUGGCACUAGUCAAGCAGAAUUACUUGCCGCAAUGCGUGAGAUGCAAAAUGAGAUGAGGACUUUGAGGCAGGCUGCUCGUGCGGGUGCAGCACAACCUAAUCCUACUACCUCUACUCAGGAAGUUGCUGCCCCAGUUGGCCCUGAGAGUGGUGUCUCGCUGAGAGAGUGGGUUGGCAUGAAGCUCGAUAGUUUUGAUGGCAAUGGUACUCCUAUUCAGGCUGCUGAUUGGUUGUCAUAUGUGGAGGAUAAGAUGGAAGCUUUUGAGGUGUCAGCUCAUGAUCGUGUUCGUUAUGGGGCACAAUUACUAAAGGGUGAGGCACAGAUUUGGUGGAAGGGUGUGCAGUCAGCUCGCACGGCUACGCAUGGUUCUUUAACUUGGCCUGAGUUUGUUAGGCAGUUUGAGAGGAGGUUUUACCCAGUGACCUUCCUGGACAAGAUGAAAAUUGAGCUAAAUAACUAUGUGCAGGAAAGGAAGACAGUGGCUGAGUAUGAGGUGGGGUUCAACCAGAUUGUUCGCUUUGUUCCACAUGUGGCCCAUGAUGAUGCAGAGAAAGCAAGGCAAUUUCGUCAAGGCCUUAAGCCUUCAAUUCGCCAUGUGUUGGGUGCCUUUGAAGUCACAGACUUUCGCUCCAUGGUAGAGAAAGCCUUGGGAGUUGAGAUGCAGCUUCAGGUCACAGCUGAUCUAAAUAAGUCUUUGAGUGGUGACCAGUCUCAUGGUCAGGGUGACAAGAAGGUCCAUUCUGGUGGUCAUGUUCAUAGGAAGGGCAAGUUUCAGCGUCACCAGCCGUACCGUGGUGGUUCAGCUCAGUCUCGUACUCCAGGAGGGAGUACUCCUCAGUAUCGUGCCAUUCCCAAACCUGGCACGGGGAUGGUGUGCUUCAAAUGUGGAGAUGCGCAUCAUCUUCGAGAGUGCCGAUGGUCCGGCAAGUGCUCUAUUUGUGGUCAAGAUCACAAGGACGUGGUUUGUAGGAAGAAUCCUGAUGCCAAGCUUCGUUGGGAGCUAGUGUCUUCUUCAGCUCCCAAUGGUGCAUUCCAUAUGAUGGCGGCUGCAUCUUCUACUCCUCACCUACCUGCACCGCCACCGCAGCAGCACCUACUUGCACCGCCACCGCAGCAGUACCUACCUGCCCCUACACCUCAGUACUUGCUAGCGCCACCGGUGACUCCAUCGGCUGCCCCUACACUUCAGACUGGGGCUUACUGGAUGCCCCAUGCUACUCCUUCAGCACCCAUGGUUCCAUGGGCUCCCACUCCGACGGGUCCUACUUCGGGUGCCUCUUCUUCGCCUGGCGUUCCAGGGGCAUAUGUUAUGCCUGCCACUAACGCUAGAGAUCGUGGUGACGUGGUAACAGGUAUCAUCUCAGUUGAUUCUUAUGAUGCUCAUGCUCUUUUUGAUUCUGGAGCUAGUUUCUCUUUCAUCUCAGAGGCUUUUGUUGGUCGUUUGGGUCUUUUUGUUGAAAGGAUUGGGGAGGCUAUCGUUGUUAGUUCUGCUAGAGGGCUUGUUUCGAGUUCUAUAGUUUGUCCAGGCUGUGUUGUCACUCUUGCGAAUGAGGAUUUUAUUGCUAACUUAGUGGUGAUUCCGUUGGAGCCUUUUGAUGUGAUUCUUGGCAUGGACUGGCUCUCCCAGUAUAAGGCCGUUAUCUCUUGUUUCUGGAAAACAAUCACUUUGCAAGCACCAUCAGGACGAGAGAUGAUCUUUCAAGGGAGUGGUUUGAAGUACUCUAUCUCCUUGUUGUGUCAGUUAUUUCCUAAUCGAUGGACACAAAAAACUGGUAUUCUUUUUGUGAUGAUUGGUGAUCAGGAGGUUCCCUUGCGAGUGGAUGAUAUUCUAGUGGUUUGUCGCUAUCCAGAUGUUUUCCCAGAUGAGCUCCCAGGUUUGCCUCCUGAAAGAGAGGCUAUUUUCCACAUAAAGUUGGUUCCUGGAACGCAACCUAUAUAUAAGACACCAUACAAGAUGGCUCCUGUGGAGCAGGUGGAGUUAAAGAAGCAAUUGGAUGAACUUCUUGCUAAAGGGUUUAUCCGACCAAGCACGUCACCUUGGGCUGCCCCAGUCUUGUUCGUAGAAAAGAAGGAUGGCACUAAAAGACUUUGUGUUGAUUAUCGAGCACUUAAUCAAGUAACAAUCAAGAACAAGUACCCUUUGCCUCGUAUUGAUGCUCUCUUUGAUCAAUUGAGAGGUGCCAAGGUAUUCUCUAAGAUUGACUUGCAAUCUGGUUACCAUCAACUACGUAUCAAGGAAGAGGAUAUUGAGAAGACGGCUUUUAAUACCAGGUAUGGGCAUUAUGAGUAUGUGGUUAUGUCUUUUGGACUAACAAAUGCCCCUGCUGUUUUUAUGGAGGCCAUGAACAGGAUGUUGCAUGAGUACUUGGAUGUUUUUGUUGUGGUAUUCAUCGAUGAUAUCUUAGUUUACUCCAAGUCAGAGGAGGAGCAUAAGGUUCAUCUCAGUCUUGUCUUGGAUGCACUCCGGAAGAACAAGUUCUAUGCAAAGUUGAAGAAAUGUGCAUUUUGGCUUUCUGAAGUGAGCUUCCUUGGUCAUGUCAUUAAUCAACAUGGCAUUAAGGUGGAUACUAAAAACGUUGCCUCAGUGGUGGAAUGGCAAAGACCGACCAAUGUAACAGAAGUUCGGAGCUUUCUUGGGCUUGCAGGUUAUUAUCGGUGUUUCGUGCAGGGUUUCUCAAUUGUUGCUAAGCCAAUGACUAAUCUCACUAAGAAGGGUGUUCCAUUCAUAUGGACUAAAGAGUGUGAGGCCAGUUUCCAAACUCUAAAGAAUAAGUUAGUGAAUGCUCCUAUAUUGACAUUACCUGAGAGCGGCAAACGCUUCACUUUGUAUACAGAUGCUUCUCGAAUCGGGCUUGGUUGUGUGCUUAUGCAAGAAGGUAAAGUGAUUGCUUAUGCAUCAAGGCAAUUGAAGAAGCAUGAGCAAAAUUACCCCACACAUGAUUUAGAGUUGGCUGCAGUUAUUUUUGCUCUAAAGAUUUGGAGGCAUUAUCUUUAUGGAGAGUCAUGUGAUAUAUUUACAGAUCACCAAAGUCUCAAAUAUAUUUUCACACAAAAAGAACUCAACUUGAGGCAAUGGAGAUGGUUAGAAUUGAUUAAGGACUAUGAUCUCACUAUCCAGUACCAUCCAGGAAAGGCAAAUAUGGUGGCAGAUGCUCUUAGUAGGACAGGUGUUCCUAAGACAGUGAUGUCCUUGAUUGUUGAUAUGGAUCGCAUGGGGGUUUCGUUUUGUUAUGCGGGCGUUGCACAUCAAGAGACUCAAAUGCUUAUUCAGUCUCCCAUAGUUGAUCAGGUGCGUGAGGCUCAACAACAUGAUCGUUUGCUUCAAGAGGUUCGAAAGAGAAUUUUAGGGGGUAGACCACGGGAGUUCACCAUAGAUGAACAUGGUGCUAUUCGCUUUAGAGGGCGUCUUUGUGUGCCACAAAAUUCUGAUGUGAAGAUGGAUAUACUUAGGGAGGCACAUCGAACACCUUACACAAUUCACCCUGGUGAGACCAAGAUGUAUCGGGAUUUAAAGAAAAAUUUUUGGUGGAAAAGGAUGAAAGUUGAUGUUGCCAAAUAUGUAGCAUCUUGUGGAAUUUGUCAGCAAGUUAAGGCAGAACAUAAAAAGCCUGCGGGUUUAUUACGGCCUUUGGAGAUCCCUGAGUGGAAAUGGGAACAUAUCACCAUGGACUUUGUGGUCGGGUUACCUCGCUCACCUCGAGGGAGAGAUGCCAUAUGGGUUAUUGUGGAUAGACCCACUAAGUCUGCACAUUUCAUUCCGAUGAAGUCAACUAGUUCAGCACCAGAUUUGGUUCCCUUAUACAUGAGAGAAGUGCUAAGGCUUCAUGGUGUGCCAAAGUCCAUUGUUUCUGAUCGAGAUCCCAAGUUUGUGUCUAACUUUUGGCGAAGCUUGCAUAGUGCAUUGGGCACAAAUUUGACUCUUAGCACUGCUUUCCACCCUCAGACUGAUGGUCAGUCGGAGAGGACUAUUCAGACCUUAGAGGACAUGCUUCGUGCUUGUGUUCUUUCAUGGAAAGGUAGUUGGGAGGAUCAUCUAUCUUUGGCAGAGUUCGCUUAUAAUAACAGCUAUCAAGCUAGUAUCAAGAUGGCUCCAUUUGAGGCUUUGUAUGGUAGGAAGUGUAUUUCUCCCAUAUGCUGGGAAACUUUGGGUGAGAGAUCUUUGAUUGGUCCAGAUUGGGUCCGAGAGACAUCUGAAAAGGUGCGGGAGAUACGACAGAAUCUGUUGGCUGCUCAGAGCCGGCAGAAGAGUUAUACUGAUGUGAGGAGGCGAGAUCUAGAGUUUGCAGUGGGUGACCAUGUUCUUCUUAGGGUAUCGCCAACCAAAGGUGUUGUGAGGUUUGGCACCACAGGAAAGCUUAGCCCAAGGUACAUUGGUCCGUUUGUGAUCACAACCCGUGUUGGCAGUUUGGCAUAUCGCUUGCAGCUUCCAGAAUCAUUGAAGCAAGUGCACAAUGUUUUCCAUGUAUCUAUGUUAAGAAAAUAUUUGAGGGAUCCUGAGCACAAGAUUGAUUUGGAGCCACUUAUUGUGGAGCCAAAUCUAAUUGUGGAAUGUCACCCAGAACGUAUCUUAGACUCAUCUGACCGAGUCAUGAGAAAGAGGACCAUCAAAUAUGUUAAGGUUCUAUGGAGUAAUCAGUCUGAGCGUGAAGCGACUUGGGAGCUCGAGGACCAAAUGCGCAAGAAGUACCCACAACUCUUUGAGAGAGGUAAGUUUUAAUUUAUCAAGUUGGUAUACCUUUGAGUAGUUAAAUUCGGGGACGAAUUCAUUAAAGGAGGGGAGAAUGUAACACACUAAAAAAAAAAUCAAAGGCCCAGCCAGCCCAACCCUUUUCCCUGGCCCGUUGCCCCCUCUCCCAUCUUAUCCAGACCAGUCCUCUCUUCCUUCUCACGUUUCUUCCUCCUUCCCUGCUCUCCCAUGGCUUCCCCUCCCUAAAUCCCCUCUCUACAGCAGCAAACCCUUGGGGGGAACUAGCAAAACGGAUCGAGGACAACAAGAGGAGCAAGAAAGGUGCAUCUUCCAUGUAGAUCGGUCCUUUCCCCAUAUCUUCCCGCUGCCCUAGGGUUUGGGGAACGACUAAGGUUAGGUGAAUCCACUUUAGAUCUGCUAAUUGAUGUUUUUAGGAGGUUCUUGGUCCUGAGGAUUAGUGGAUUUGUUGGGGAAAACACGGUUUGAAGGUCGAUUUAAGGUGUGCUGUCCUGUAGCUCGGGCAGUGCUGCUGUCCUUGUAGAUUUGGUGACCUAAACGAUUUCUCCUCCAAAAGUGGAUCAUACAAAAGUUGUAGAGAAUUAUGAGAUGUAACUGCUGUCCAAGUUUCAUAUUUUUGGUGGAGUAUACCUUCAGUUAUUGAAUAUUGUUUGGACGCUGUUUCUGAAUGUCCAGAUUUUUGACAGCAGAUGUUCAGAGAUGUAUUAGAUGAUCUUAAGGAUGGAAUUCGUGGAAACCCAUAAUAACAAAGUUUUAGGUUUCUCAGAGAUAUAUGUCCUGACAAAAUUUUAGAAUUUUUGGACAAGGGGUUUGGGAGAUAUGAAUUUUUGUAUGCUGCUGCCCGAAAUUUCAGACAGAUUCUGUACUUCACAUUCAACUGCAGUUUUACCCCUCUUUGGAUUAUGCUAAAAAUAAAGGAUCUGAACAAAGUUGUAAGAUUUCUCCCUUAAUUUUCUAAGAUGUAUUUGCUUGCUGUCAUAUCUUUUGUAAUUUUAAAGAUACAAAAAAGUGAAGCAGCACUGCUGCGGUUAACCUAGGUGAUGUUUACCAUCGUCGCUUGUUUGACCGGUUGGGCUAUAUGGGUGCUUUACUUGCUGUGUGCACAUGGUUGUUUGAGGAUAUGUUCUGAUCUUAUUGUGUAAAAACAGGUGGUAACGCUCCGGAUCACGCUUAGAGCGGCUAUCUCCUUCAUUGGGAGGCAAGUAACGUAGCGGUGGUUUCUACAAGCUUUAAUUUGCUAUUUUUCCUACCUCCACCUUAAAUUUCAGAAUGAUAACUUAUCCAAUAUCAUCCAUUCAAUUACAAGUUUAUGCACAUCUUACUGUUGUUAUUACAUAUGCCUUAUUCUUUACUUUAUAACUUGGUAAUGGCUCUUGUUAGCAUAAUUAUGAUGAGGUUUAUGUUGUCAAAUGAGGAGAGACUUAUCUGGUAUAUGCGGUGUAUACUCUCUUUGUGCGAUCUGUCUUGGCAUUGCAUUUCAUUGCAUCACAAUGCAUGGCAUAUGGAGUUAAUUCGCCGCUUGAUAGCCGCGACCGUACCGGUACAGCAUCGUUUAUUGGGCAUAACGGUGCAGCUUCAUACUUUGUUGAGUAUGAAGGCAGGAGACAUGGCAUUUGCAUUGCAUUUGCAUUUAGGGUGCUAUCGGUUUUCUAUGGUAUUUAUUUGGCAGUGGUGGUGAGAAGUGAAUUUUCUCCAAGGUUUGGUGACGAAUUGGUUUUAUUUAUGUAUGAGGGUGUUGGAGUUAUUAUUAUUAUUAUUAUUCAUUGAGGAGAUACACUUACUGAUAAUAGUUAAACCAUGGUCUAAUGAACUUGUAGUUUAAAUAGCUUGUUAAAGCUAGUUACUUGCUGAGAUUUUAUAUCUCACCCCUAUUUUUUUGUUAUCCUCUCAGGUACUUGAUGGAUGGAUGCUUUGCUUGGGGGGUUGGGAAGUAGCAGCACGUCACACACUUCUCUUUAAUCAAAAUCCUCUAGUGUGAUACUGUAAUAUUUAAGUCCUUCUCUAUGAGAGUCUAUUUGUUGCUUAAUGAUGGUUAAGCUUUGUUAAACCUUGCCUUAAUCGUUUGAAUUUCAUGUUAGGAUCUUUUAUUUAUGCUAGUGUGCUUUAUCUAUUUUCAUAUCUUAUUGUUUCUUGCUUCCGCGGUGUUCCUGAUUUAGGGAAGAUGCUGUCAAAAUCUGUCCCUUUUGUCCGAUGUGGCUUAGUAGCAUCCUAAGGUGGCGUUUGUUUUUCUUGGGGUGUUACAGAUGGUGAGCAAGUCUUACCUCGGUAAGAACGUGAAGGUGAUCGCCGAAUACAUGCAGCAUAUAGACAACAAGCUGGUGGUCUUCAAUCCUGUGACCAUGGAAGGCUACCAGUACAUGGUCGCUGGUGAGAAACACUGCGUUAACAGGCCUGGACACACACCAUGGUACAAGAAGCCGGACGACUUGAAGGUUACCACCGUGGAGCAGAUCUGGCAGUGCGAGGGGAAUCUGCUCAUUGGUGAUCAGGGCAAGGUGCUCAAGGACUUGUGCCUCUCUAUGGCUCUCUCCAAGAUGCUCAACCGAAGGUUUGCUGGCUUCAAGCUCUCAGAGGCAGAGCUUGAGAAAACCCACGACUUCGUAUUCAAAGGCCUGCUCGCCGGGGACGAGCAGUGGGCCUUCAGGGUCAUUGAGGAAGAACUUGUUUUUGUCCAUGACAUGUAUUACACAAGGUACUCUUACCUCUACCAAAAGGGUCGAUACCUGGCUCUCUGUCUGCCUGUCAUCAUGUUUGCCCUAUGCUCGUGGCUCACAGUGGCCAGCCUGCACGUCAAGCAUCACGACGACCCCUAUCUCAGUAAUCAUAGCAAUCGCAGUCUGAUGUCUGGCACCAUAGUCAUAACGGUUGUCUUGGCAUUCCUGGAGGCAUACCAGCUGUACCUGUACAUGGCCUCAGGUUGGUUCAAGGUGGCACUGAUACGGAGCUAUGUCGCCGCACCUUUUUUGCAAACAAGCUGUUUCUAUGAGAUGAUCAUACAUCUUCUCUUGAUGUUGAAGGUGUUUCGCCCAUGGAAGGGCAGACUUGGGCAGUACUGUUUCCUCGAGAAUCUUGGCCGCAAAAGUAAGGUUGUGAAUUGUCUCCAUUAUGGUACACUGUGCUUGGUGGACAAGGCCAUGAAGGGAAGCAAGAAAUCAGUGAAGGUCUCCGAAGAUGUGAAGAAAGCCAUCAUUGAUUCCCUACUAGCAAGCAACGGACACCUGACGAACGGGGUAACAUCGCUGCAAAAAAAUGGCGUCCAUGAUGACCUCAAAUGGGCAUGUGAUGCUACUGCUACUGACGGAGCGGUGGCUCGCACCAUUGUGGUCUGGCACAUUGCUACAACCCUGUGCGAGCAGAAGCUGGAUAAACAAGUCAAAGAAGAAGACGCUGUCAAAACAGCCUCCACUUUAUCCAAGUACUGCAUGCACCUCCUUGCUUUCGCACCUAACCUCUUGCCCGACCACAGCUCCAUAUCGGAAUCCAUACUUGAUCAGUCAAUCCACGAAGCAAGCAAGUUACUCAAAGAGGCCAAGGACAAGAAGAUCAAGGGCAAGAACAAGAAGAUCGAGGGCAGGUGUGAGAUAUUAAUGCAAAUUAGCACUGAUGAUGAUUGUGUUGAUGAUGAAACAAUUCUUGUUGCGCGGGGCGUUCACCUUGCAAGGCAACUGAUUGAUAACAUACAAGACUUCACAACACGGUGGAAGGUGCUAUCUGAUUUCUGGGCGGAGAUGAUGCUGUAUGUCUCGCCAUCCGACGAUGCUCGGGAGCACCUGGAAGUUCUUGCAAUAGGAGGGGAGUUCAUCACGCACCUUUGGGCGCUGCUCAUGCAUGCCGGUGUGCUGAAGCGAGGACCUACAGUGCCAAAGGAUGUUGUGUGACCUCUUUAACAAGUACACACGUAGCAGUCAUUAUAUCUAUCUAGUGCUUGUAACAUUCUAUGUAUGUUGGCACACCAUGUGUGAGUUAGUCUGUCGAGUCUGUAUCUCUUUUCAUGUCGAGUUAGUUUGUCGAGUCUGUAUCUCUUUUCAUGUCGUGUCUGUUAUCAGAUUUUGGGCAGAGUCAGAUCUGGUAAUUUCCGCAAGUUUCCUUAAGAAGAGCGUGCGUUCAGGUUGUUGGACGUGCGCGCGUCUAAGGUGGCCAUUACAGUCGCAAUCUGUUCCAUCGACCACUUGGGCACUCUCUCUCAGUUGCGUCUGUUCGUCUGUCAAUUGAGCAGAUCCUGUUGCAGCAGAGAUUGACCCUGCUACUACAGAAGGGGCGGGGAUCCCCUCCUGAGGAUUCCAGCUCUUUAGGGAGGGGUUCAACCUUGAGGAAGAUGCCAUAGUAGGAAUUCUUGCAUUCAUGUUCGUAACAAUACUGAGUGUUAUGGAAAAAUAUGGUCUUCUUCCUCUUCCCUCUUUGGGGAAGGGAAGCCUUUAUUCUUCGCGGAGUGUAUUGGGGAUAUAGGACUGAAAGCAGUGAUCAAGGACACGACUUGCCUUCUUGACCUUGCUCCUGCUGUUCGUACUCCUCGAAGGCUUGAUCUUCAAAUCCCUCGAACUGCUGAACGUCUACACGCAUCACACAAGCACAUACAAGCAAACAAGGGCAUAAAGUAAGAAAACAAUACACCAAUCACAAUUAAACAGAGAAAACAAGCUUGUAAAAUUGAUCUACGCUUUAAAAAUGAACAUGUAGAUAUAAAGAAUGCGAAAAAAGGAGUUAAGAUGCAAAAGAUAUAAGUAAAAUAAGAUCCAGGGGUUUUUCUGCGAGAAUUCAAAACUUUUAGGGUCAAACUGCGAAAAAUUGAGGACUUAUACAUAAUUACGUGUAUAAAAUGAAGGUUUAACGUGCAAAAACGCAACUUAGGAUGGCAGGUUGAUUUUAGAGAAACUCAGGGUUGAAACCGAAAUAAAAUAGGACCAAAACACAAAUGCUUUUGAACUGGAUUGGACUGCGGGUUGAUUUGCGGAAAAGGUGAGGGCUUAAGUGCAAAAGAGGUGCGACGCGGCGCGGUUGACUAGUACGCGAUCCAGUUGACCCGCUGUGGGCCGUCGGAUUUGGAUCCGACGGUCACGGUCGUCGGCGACACUGAAGCGGUGGCAGAAAAAGGUGGCGGACGGCGACGAGCGGCGGCGCUUCGCUGGAGUUGGCCGAAACAGCGCUCCGGGGCUCGGUUUCGCGCGCGGAUUGCACGAGAUGGAUGCGGGGAACACGACGAACUCAUUUAGGGCUUUGGUGGGGGUUGCGGUGCGACGGAGCUCACUUUUUGGCGGCGGCUUGUGGCGGCGCUGCUAGGGUUUGGAGGGGCGAUGGCUGGGUGCUUGAGGCCGGGGGGGGGUGCGGCGGCUUAAAUAGGGGCGUAUGGUGGCGAGAUACGGAUAGGAGAUGGACUCCGCGCGGAGGAAGCGCGCGGCGGUUGCAGGAGGUGGGCGGAGUCCGGGCGCGGUCGGGGAGAAGUCCCGGCCGGAUACGCCUGCCCCACCCGUCAGACCGGCGGAAGGGAGCGGGUCGGCGCUGCUUCGCGGGCCGCGGAGGAAAGGAGAUGGGCCGGCGAGGGAGAAACGUGGCAUGGGCCGGAGGAGCUGAGGGGAGGCGGGGCCGAAAAGGGAGGGAGGUCGGUAUGCUGGCCAGGCCGGCAGAACAGGCCGAGCAAGCGAGACGGGCCGACAAGUGAAGGUGGAGCUGGUGGCGCUGGGCCGCAAGGAGUUGGAGCCGUGCUGAAAGAAAAAGGAGGAGGAGAAAGAAUGCAGCCCAAGAGGGGAAAGUAAAAGAAAAGAAGAAAAGGAAAAGUUUUGGAAAUUGAAUUUGAGAUUUUGAAUUGGAAUUUGGAUCAAAUACAAUCAACCAAAAAUUAUGCACCAGCAUGAAUGUACAACAAACUCCUAUGGUGAAUUAAUUUAAUUUAGAGAAAAUAAAAAAUAAUAUGCCUAAGAAUUUAAAUGACAUCUUAAUUAAGCAAAUUUUAAUGAAUUUAAAUUCUUUAAAAAUUUGGUGUUACAAAUGCCAGGCUUUCGGGUCCGUGCACCCAAGUCCUAACAUGACGGAGAUUCUGGGUACCAUCCUAAGCCAAGUAGCAGAUGGUGCAAUGUCUGCUGGCAGUGGCACCGAACCUGCAGCAGAACAAAAUAUCAUCAACGACAUAUCAAUUUCCCUCUCUGACAAGAGGUACGCAACAUUGCAUCCUGUCCAUUCCCAUUCCCAUUCCGCUUGUCGAACAACCCGUUUGUGUUAUGGUACUAUCCUAAAAAUAGAACAUAUUAUGUUUGGAACGUUAGUCCAACAACCCGUGCAUCCACACAUAUUUUUAGAAAAAGCAUAGAUAAUUGAGCUUUGUGAAAGGCAUAUAAUUUAGUAAUAUUUAGAGGUGAUUAUGUUUUCUAAGUUUUUUACCAUGUUUCUUCUUCCUCCUAUGAUUAUGUGAAAGGUUUUAUGGAGUACUCAACAAAGUUUGCUAGUCCAUUAACCACGCUUUUGCACGGGAUAUAAAUUUUAAAAGAUUCAUAAGUAUUAAAAGCUCAUGGAUAGUUAAUCCGAAGUCUACGAGUAAUUGAGAAAUUGCUUAUCUUUGCUUUGUCUCCUAUUUAUUUAAUUUUUUUAAAACAAUAUAUACCCAUAUAGGUAUUUUUUUUUAAUCUUGUAUGUUGGUGAUUGGUGUUGAUUAAAAAUUACUUUAUAUGCCUUUUAAUUCACAUUCAUAGUCUUUUCAACUUUAGAUGAAACAUUAGUGAAGGACUGAGAUGGGCGACUGGGGGUGAAUAGGAGCCUCCAAUAAUUCUUUUAAAUAAUAAGGUCUAUAUCCCAAUUGCCACCCAAAACGCAUCUCGCUUCUAAUCAUCAAGAUGACACUAGUCAACUCGUGACAAUCUCAUCUUAGGAACGAUUAGAAACACUCGAAAGCGUAGCGGAAGCAAAGAAAAGCAAAACUUUGAAAAGUUUGCACGAGAUAUUGAUCUCAAACACUACCAAAUCAUUACUUGACUAAGCAUGCUUGAAAUAAUUAAUUAAGAAUUAAGCAUGAUUAACAAAGUGACAAAACUACUGAACAAGUAGCUAAUAAACAAGGUAGCACAGAUUAACUAGUAAUAAUUAACUAGCUCAAGUGAUAAAUUAAUAAUUGCAUGAAUUAAAGAACCGAGCAACCAAAGAAAAGCAACUGGGCUGCAGCUUGCUCACCUUGCUGGGCCGCUUGCACACUGCCACGGAAGAGCUCCUAGCUGCUGUACUGAUGGGCGACCCUGGUGCUGCACGGACCGGUGUGCUGGGCCGCCUGGCUCCGGCCUGCUACGUUGACAGGUCUGGAUCGCUCGAGCCUAGCCACGGCCUGCUGGACUGCUCGGCCGCGCGGCUCCCUCCGGCCUGGCUGGGCUGCCUGGCCACCCGCGCUGGGCCGCCUGCCUGGUCAGCUGCUGCGCAGGCCAGGAAUUUUUUUAUUUUUAUAUUAUAAUAAAUUGUCGAAUAAAAAAUUUGUAAAAAUAGACGUUCACUGCCGGACCAAAUGGUGGUAAGAUCGCUUUUGCCGUAUGAAACGGAGGAAGGGUACCGGCCGCCACGUGCUGCCCUCCCUCGCCGGCUGAAAUGGUGGUAAGGACUCUUCCGCCAUUUCAACCAGCGAGGCAGCCCGGGUUGGCGACCUAUAGUGAAACGGCUAUAACGACCCCUUCAGUUAUUUUCCCUUCAUUUUUUUGACUUUUAUCAAUUAUUUUUCCUUUAUUGUUUUAUUAUUUCAAUUAUAUAGUUGUAUCGCAAUACUUAACUUCGUAAUUUGAGGUUAUACCUCUAUCUUGAAUAUUGUUCCUUUAAAUUUUUAUAUGACAUUUUUUUAGAGAGGUAGAGUGAUUGCACGAAAUCAUUGAAAAUCAUGAAACUCCAGCCUACGUAAAGUAGUCUGUGGAUACAAUUGUACAAUCAUGCGCGUUACAAUUGUACACAUGAUAGCUUGUACCGGCGUACAAAAGAUAAAAGAGGUCCUACAUACUAAAUGUGUUCUCGCUUGAAACGAAGCUGCCACCUCCCCCUCCCCGACCACGACCACGCCUCGCUGCCCGCUGCGCUGCUCUGGUCUGCUGCUGGUCGUACGUCAAGAGCUCUCGUGGGGCAACGUCGCAAGGCGGACGUCCUACUGCGGCUGCAUAUGGUGUCCCGAGCUCCUGGGUCACGUCCUGUGUAGGAGCCUUCGGGGCCUCACGCAACUACGAGGCACCGAUCACGUUAGGCUUAGGUCCGAAAAAAUUGUCCACCCAUGCAUGGAAGCCUGACAAGAUUGUCCACCCAUGCAUGGAUGUUGGACCUCUGUCCCUCCUCCUCGACGGAGUCCUCCGGAGCCUCUCCGCGGUCUGCGAACCCUGUUAUGCAACUAAGGAAAUGAUAUUGUUGGUUUCGUUGCAUAUUUAAAAUGGAAUAGAAAACAUGUAUUCGUUGUGCACCGAAGCGGUGUAGCUCUAUGCCUGGUGGUGCUAAAGAAGGUCCCGCUCCACUGUAAGCUCCGUACAUCUGCGGGCUGUGUUAAUAAAUUAUUAUUUAGUAAGGUGAAUUGGAAAAUAUUUCGUAAAUGGUGUACGACAAAAUAACGUACCGAAAGUGCAUUUCAAGUUUACCCCAAGAUGUGAUAAGAUGGUAUGGAUGUAAAAGUUUCUAUGCACCUUUUUUUAUUGGUACCUGAUAAUAAUCGAUGACAUUUGGCAUUGGGAAGAAUGGGAAGUCAUCCGAAAAGCUCUUUCCAAGAAUAAUAUGGGCUCUAAAAUAAUCAUGACGACUCGUGUCAAGGCUUUAGCUGACAAAUGUCGAACUGAACAAGGUGCACAUGUGUAUACACAGAGUUUUCAUCACGAGGACGCUAAAAGACUAUCAGACAUGAUACUGAACAAGUCUGUCGGAAGAGACAUACUUGAAGCCAAUGCGGAGUGGCUACCCAGAAAGAUUGUGCAUACGAGUGGUUUGAUGCCACUAGCAAUAAUCUGUUUGUCGUCAGCAUGGGCAGAGAGCCAUGCAUGGGCAAGACGACGACUAUGGGGAAUAUUGGUAUAUUUGGGUAAGUGAAAUGCUGAUGGAUAGGUUUCUGAGUCCUCCAUCCUUGAAACCACUAGUCCAGAGUUUAUGCCUUGUUUUCGACGAUCUUCCCGUUGAGCUGAGGACUUGCUUGCUGUACUGCAGCAUAUACCCUCUGGGUUAUUUUAUUCAAAGGGAUUGCUUGGUCAGAAAAUGGAUAGGCGAAAGAUUUGUUUCGCAACAAGAAGUAUCAGAAGCUUACUUUGACAAGCUUGUUUCUAGGAAUCUAUUGCAGCCGGUACCCAAAUACCAGAGCUUUUACAUAGUCCACCCCAUAAUGCUAGCCUUCCUUGUAUGCAGAGCAAAAGAAGAUAAUUUUGUUGCUUGUCGGCAGCACAAUAAUGGCCGCGGUAGCUCCUCGCACGCCAAACAGAUCCGUCGCCUUUCUCUCGACACGGAUUGCAUUCCAGAUGAGGAUGUAGUAUCUCAUAUUCGCUCCCUUGCUGUUCUUAGUGACCAACCCCACAUUGGUGUCCCCUUGAAGAAGUUUAAAAACCUGCGAGUGCUAGAAAUUGACAGCUGUAAACGUCUAGAGAACUUUUCUCUGGUGGAUAUAUACGGGCUGAUCUGGCUGCGGUAUCUGGGUCUCAACGGCUGCCUUGAAAUCACAGAGAUCCCACGGGAGAUUUGGAGACUGCAGAAUCUGGAGACGCUAGAGGUGAGGAACACAGGUAUUUGUAAACUACCCAUGGAAAUUGGGACACUGGUGCAUUUAAGGACUCUGAAUGUAAGUGUCACAAUGGUCACAGAGGUUCCAAGGAAAAUCACCGGACUUUCUCGUUUGGAGAAUCUGGAUGUAAGCUCGACAGGGGUGAAAGAGUUGCCUAAGGAAGUAGGAAAACUACAGGAGUUGAGGACUCUGGACAUUAGAGUGACUAAAGUCAGAGAGCUACCCCGCAGGGAAAUUCCAAAUUCUUUUUGAAGUGUGGUCGGCCACUUUGAUUCGAGUUCUGGUCGAGUGGUGAAGUUGCCUCUGGGUGUCUUCAGAUCAAGUGGUGAUGAACAGGUUAUUUCCUCUUCUGGAGCAAAUUGCAGGGAGAGCCUAUCCAUCCUCGUGCUCUUUAAUCAUCUCUACAAGAGGUGUGAAGUUCUUCCAGUUCCGAUGCAUAGAGUUGCCGGGAGACACAUGAAAGUCCCGCAGUGGGUCAAGCAAGACUUGUGCAAUGUCUGCUCCUUAGAUAUCAGUCUCUGCAAACUGGUGGAGGAAGACCUCGAGUUUCUGAAGACGCAGAUGCCCAACCUGCAGGCUCUCCAACUAAGGUUCGAGGUCCUCCCACGGGAGCCGGUUGCCAUCACUGGUGGAGGGUUCUUGAAGCUAGAGACGUUCUACGUCUGUUGCCGUCUGCCACGGGUGAUCACCUUCUGGGAAGGAGCGAUGCCGAAGCUGAAACAUCUUGAGUUCAAGUUCUGCACCGGCACGGCAAGGCAACACUACUCCAUGGGAAUCAGGCAUCUCGACAGCCUUGAGAAGGUCAUGUUCCGAUGCUCCGAGUACUACACAAGUCACGGUCCGGGCAUCCGCGAGACAAUUGAUGUACUGAGAAAAGAAGCUGCGGAGCAUCCCAACAAGAUCACCCUUUGGGUCAAUAACAUGAAACCUGAGGUUUUCCUCAAGACAAUUGAUGUACCCUUUAAAGAAUGGAAACGUGAACAACGUCUUCGACUAUCGACGGCAGCAGAGGUGCGCGAGCUCAGCGGGACAAAAACAACGCAAGGGCUGGAACUGAAAAGAAAAUUCAAGAAAGGAAAAGCAAUCUUGAAAUCAGGGAACGACGAUUGAGGGAAGCAGAGCGCUACCAUAACAUAUAAUAAUUGCUGCAAUAAUGGAUUUACGUUUUAUGCACUUGUUCGCUGGGCCUAAACAAAAACAUAUUAUAUCUUGUUUUUUCAAAAUCGGACCUUCCUUCUCCAUGACUCUAUGUGACAUUAUCUGUACGCACACUUUUUUUUUGAUGAAAUAGGAGGGGAUGAUCAUCCCCUGCUGGAUAUAUAUAUUAAAGAGAGCAAAAAAUGUACAGGUACAGAUCAGGAAACAAAAAAGAAGAGAAAGAAAAUCAGAAAAAUUACAAUGAGUGCUCUAGCCAUUCAAACAUUGGUUGUUUCCAAGCCUCUUUUACUCGUAGAACAACUUGAGUAAAAACAAUCCGAAACCUCCUCAUUGCAUCUUGGAUGGAGGGAGUAAUAUUCCUGAAAAUCCAAUCAUUUCUUGCCAUCCAAAUACACCAACUCAUGAGCACAAUAAUUUCCAUAAAAAACGGGACUUGUAACUGAGCUUUGAAGCUUGUAAGAAUUGUGUAAGGCUCCUCAUCCAGGUUAGCAAAAAGACUGAUAUUGAUCCAGCACUCUUGGGCAAAGGGACAUUGCAGUAAUAGAUGGAACAAGGUUUCCUCACUAUCCUGUGAACACAAGAUACAAGAAUAGGAGGGUAGAAUCAUGUGUUUUCUUCGAAGCACAUUUCGGGUACUUAGCCGGUCAUUAAGAAGGAGCCAGAAGAAAAACUUAUGUUUACUUUGACAUCGAGACUUCCAAAGCCAUCCAAAAAUCGGAUGCACAUGGCGAUGGCCAGACAGUACAUGAUAUGCUUUUGAUGAGGAAAAGUGAGAAUUGCCCCAAAUAUAUGCCAACAGUCAUGAUCUUCAUUAAAUUGGAUUCCAUUCAGAUCUGUUCCUAAUUGAAGAAGCUGAUCCAUAGCUUGAGAUGAUAGAGGCAAAUUAAAAAGUUGGUGCAAGUUAGGCAGGUGAUAAGCUUUCCUAACAGAUAUAUCAACCUUUGUAGUGAAUGAGUAUAAGUGUGGAUACUCUUGUGCUGGGAUCUUAUUAUUCCACAAAUCAUGCCAGAGGAGACAGGUCUGACCACUAUGCACAGUUACAGAUGCUAGACCUUUGAAUUUGUCCAAGAGUUUCACAACAUUCUUCCACCAAAAUGAUCCUUUUCGGACUUGUCCUGGUAACCUGCCAGAAGCAUAAUAUUUCUCCCAAAUUAGGUGUACCCAUGGUAUAUCUGAUUUAUUCAGGAACUUGUGAAGGUACUUACGAAGAAGAGCUUCAUUCUGAGUCCUAAGAUUUAACACCCCAAGGCCACCCUCUUUCUUUGGGAGACAAACAAGAUCCCAGGCAGCCUUUGGAGGUUGCCUAUUAUUUACAUCAGACUUUCUCCAGAGGCAACAUUUUCUAUAUUUGUCCACUUGUUGAUAUACUGUCUUGGGUAGCUGGAAAGUGCACAUAUGAAACAUUGGCAUGGCUGUAAAAAUUGAGUUUAUCAGCUGAAGCCUCCCUGCGUCUGACAGAAAUUUUGAUGUGGAUACCAAUCGCCGUUCACAUCUUGUGACCGUAGGCAGGAAUUCCUCAAUUUUUGGCUUGGUAAGGCCAAGUGGAAGCUUGAUUGUCAUUAUUUUUCCAGUUUAGUUUCUCUUCGUCAUAUGCAGUGCUAGCUUGCAGCAUGCAUGCGCACACUAAACAUUCCGUAUGUCUUGUUCCAAUCAUUCAGAUAAAAGUCGUCGCCAUAUGAGUAUGAUUCACGCUAGUGAUCCAGUUCUGUUAAUUAUUUGCUUCCGUAUUAAAUAGAGUUUUAAAAUAUUUAAAGUUCAUUAAGUAAUAAACUAAGGAAAAAAACCGAACUGAAUUUAUUUAAUAACACUUGGAAGUUGUUCUAAGAGGGAUAGAGGGAUAAUAAAUAACUUAAUUUGAAAUUAUGUAUUUCAAAAUAUGUAGCACUUGAUCUUGUAAAUAUUAAAUUAUACCUUAUAUAGUGUGCUUGUCGAGUUUCGUAACAUUUAAAGUUCGAACGCUAUUUUUAUUGAGAUGUUCCAAGUAGGUAUAUUUAACUAAACCCUAAGCGGGAUAUAGGAAUAAUAAAUAGCCUACUUUAAAAUUUAAAAUUUCAAAAUAUAUGGCACUUGGGAACAUCCACACCAUAGUGUCACGCAAUGAAAAUAUUUGUUUGGAGGGGUUGUUUUUAAAAUAUUAUUAAAAAGGUUAAAUUAAAAAAAUUGCUUAUGUUUGGUUCUGCUCUAGGCAUGGCCGCAAUGUGCGAAUCCUCUCUCUGUUGGAGGGAUUGGAUGGAUGCUGCCGAUGAGACAAGGAAUUGAAACGGGCCAAAAUAAAUUCUCCUAUAAAGCGGGCCUGGGCCUAGUCAUCUCCGCCUGAGUGAGCAGGGCCGCCCGCCAGUCCAAGAAUGAAACUCUCUCUGCACCGGGGUCGCAGAAGAAGAUGACGCGUGCGGCCGCGUCAAUGCUUUUCUGUUUUGCAUAUUUACCUCCUCAUCAAAAUACUGUGUACUGAUCCAUAUAAGCACGUAAAAGACUAAUCUAAUAAAAAAAAGACAGCACAAUUAUUCAACUUGUCGCGAUCAGAUAAUUAUGCACAGCGCAAUUAUUAAUCGGAAUGGGUCUAUCGAUUAUUCGAUUUGCAAGAUGGCGCUGCUCGAGGAAAGCAUGACCGGAUUAUACCUAGCAUCCUGCACUGCACUCAUCAGGAGUGGAACGGAAAAUGGUGGCGCAGAUGCUGAUGCAGAGCACUCUGCCUUGACAUGGAAUGGGAGACAGCUGAGCCCCCGUCUCGGAUUAGUUCCCUUCUCGGAUUUUUAUCUCGUGCGCUGGAGCCUGAGACCAGAUCGAAUUCGUUUCGGCUUCAAGCGGGCCUGGCCCUGGUCUUCUGUCUAAGGCCCGAUUAUAUAUAGAAAGAUAAAAAACGCAAUGAUCUUGGAUUCUUCGUUAAAGCUAACCCUCAGGAGAUCGUCAUCAGGUACCAAAAAAGGUCAAGUUAAAGAUUGAAGGUAAUUCUUCCUGCCUCCUCAUCAGAUGAAAUUUAGGUGCACAGCUUGACGGUCCCCAUGUUCUCACUUGGCCUUGUGCUGCCGUCACUUUUGUUCAGUGUUUUCCAUCUUCAGCUCAUCUGUACACAACUACAGGCAUUAGUUUGACACUUUUUGCUAUCCUUGCACAACUGGCGGCAUAAUGAACGCUCCAGUGUUCUUGUGCAGUCACACAGCUAGUGCUUCAUUCAUGUAUUUAUAAUCCCAACAAACACUGGAACGAUGUAGCUAGCAGCUCCAGCCAUACAUGAUAGAACGCGAAACACUAAUCAAUAAACAACCAAAAGAAAACCUCAGCCUAUUUUGGUCGAACACAACAUCUAACCACAAAUUAUUGUCGCCUUCCGAUCCCCGGUCCGUCGCCACCUCCCCGGCCGAAUGAAGAGGCACUCGAUGCUAAGACUGUUGAUGAAGAGGCACUCGAUGCUCCCACUGCUACAAAAGCUGAGGUUAAAACAGAACCUGAGAAUCGGGAGGAUGAGAAAACUAGCAAGCAUCUAGGGAGGAGCAGUGCUAGUUCGAACCAAGGAAGCACGAACGGUUCUGCCUCAGCAGCACCAGGCCUUCACGAACAGGAAGCCAACUCUGCAUUGAAAAUCAUGCACGAGUUAUCUGAUCAUCAGUUGGAGCAAAUAGAGAAGCACCUGGAUUCCAGCACCCAUGUUGCUGCCGUGAACUGUCCACAGCCAACUCACGGCGGCGGCGGCGGCUAUAUGACUGGACCACCAAUGGUGGGCCCCGUGCACCCUGAGUAUGAGCUGAUGCCUGCAGUUGCGUCCCCUGUUGCUGUCUGGAGCGAUGGGGGGAGCGCCAUGGUGCCUGCAUUAGGGCAUCCGGCUGAGACUUGGGGACCGGCGUACGUGGAGCACGUGUACUAUGCCUGAUCGCCUGAUUUGCAGUUGCAACGCUUGUCGCAUUGUCUGAAAAUUAGCAUCUCUUGUUGUGUUUUGCACUUUUGCUUGACUCACAACUCUGCCCUGUCUAUAUCACUUUGUCUAUCAGCGAAUGUGCGGCGCGUGAAUGUUUCGGAGCAUCUAUUGCGUAUGAUAUCUUUAACGAUUUGGAGUUGGAGCAUCCGUUUGCUCUGUUUUUUUCUUCCAACUUCAAUUCAGUCUUGUAACGACGCUGCAGCGUGCAUGCUCGCUUCUAGGAUGGAUUCUGUGUCACCUUUGCGGCCUUAUCAUGUAUGGCACCUGAAGGAAAUUCGUGUGCUAUUUUGUUAGCUGAAUUAUCGUGAAGAAGCAGAACGAACCUGUGGUAAAAGCCGGGGCAUUCCUUUGGCCGGAAUCUGAAACGGGAACCGGGGCAUGGCCAGAGGCUUCGGUGCAGAGCCCAGCUUCGACGCAGCGAAUACCAACCCCCCCAGCUCGACUCCGGCGUCCGCUCGUGGCCGCCGGCGUGACCAGUGACGAUGUGGGCCAGCACAUAUAAGCACGGGGCGUUGCGAGGCGGCAUGGGAAUGGUUACAGAGUGGAUCGAUUGAGCACCACAGCUCCCACCCCCACAUGUAAGAAUUAUUGCAUCCCCUGUCCUUGGGCUGCUGCAGCCUUUUCCCGGCCCUCUUUUGCUAUCAAACAAAUGUAGUAACUAUGGAUACAUCAUCUAAUUUUCUGCUAAUUAAGGAUACAUCAUCUAAUUUUCUGGACAUGGUCAGGAGGGUAGUCAUCUACACUCUCCAGCUGAGUUUUUGUCAGUUAUUGUCAUAAAAAUAUGAAAAAAGUUGGGAAGUUGAACCUUUUUCCAACAUCUCACCGCAAGCGCAUGCGACAACUGCUGAAGUCCAGGUAUGUAGUAGUCAUUCUACAAGUGCUGAAUGUGCCCUGAGAUCUUUAUAAAGAUGAACCAGUACUUUGCACUUUGUUUAGAAACUUGCACAAAGUCUAAUUGGAUAUUUGGGGUAGGCAAGUGUGCAUUAAUGAUAAAUUUGGAUUCGAUUAAUGGAAGGUAAAUAUUACCUUAUCUCCCAAAACAAUGAGCAUGCCUGUUAUCAUGGGCAUUAUUCACUUGGAGGAAUGCGCACCACCAUCGUUGACUCCAAGCUGUUGUUCAACCCGCAGCUCAAGAUCCAGCGCCUCAAGGACGCCAUCUUCACAUAGAACGAGCGGCUCGCGCGCGCCAAGAAGCGCAGCGCCUUCGCCUCCCUCAUCGCCGCAAAGUUCAUCCCCAAGCCGCUCCACUGCCUCGCCGUCUACCUCACCGCCGAGCGGAUCGCCAGGCCCGAGCAGUACGCGGAACCGGUGCUGCCGCCAUGGGCGCUCUAUGUCACGGCGGGGGAGUGCCCGUCCACCGGUUCUUGGGCGCGGAAAACGGCGACGACGGCGGAUCCGACGGCGGACUGGAGGGGGAGGGCGCGGACGGUGCUGUUUGGCCUCAGACGCUGGCAAGGAGGGCGGAUCUAUCCCUCCAAAAAAUUUCAUUUCCAAACUCAACUUAUAAAAAAUCUUAUCUUACUAUUACUAAUUGGAGACUCCUUUUAAAGCCUCCAGAUGAAGCCACAUAGGAUUCCUAGGUGGACACUCUAGAAAAAGAGAGAAAUUCUAGAAAUUCUCACAAAAAAGCAAAACAUCCGACCAUCAAUCGACAGAUUCAAAUCAUCAUAACCAUUGGACCUAUUAUGUUUUCUAAAAAAUUACCCACCUAUGCCAUUAUGAAAAUAGCCUAAAGUAACCCCCUAAAUCUAUAUAUAAAUUACCCACCUCUGCCAUUAUAUAAAAUAAACUAAAGUAACCCCUAAUCUUCAUCAAAAUUACCCACUUAUACCAUUAUAAACAAUAUUUAAAAUAACUCUCUAAUUUGCAACUGAAUCGCCUACCACUAUUACUUUAAAAAACUUAAAGUAACCCCUUAAAUUUGCAUCUAUAUUACCCGCACAUGCUAUUAUUAAAAAUAACAUGAGGUAACCCUACGUUUGAAUCAAAUAACCUUAAUUAAAAAUAUACAACAAUAUAUGAUUCUAAAUCGUCUAUAUCCUACACUAUUGGUAUACAAUAUAAUAAUUAAGGUCUAUACGCAUAAUGUGUGAUGUGUGUCACUAUUUAUAAGGAUAUAAAGUUAUGGGAAUAUACAUUUGUACGCUAAAAUUAUAUUUAGCAUUAUGGAUAGUUCUAUUAAAUUUAUGAGCACUCCAACUUAGGGUUCAUUAAACAAAUUCAAGCCCAUACAUGCGGUCCAAAGUGGAAAGCUAAAGAUUAUAAAUGUGGAUGAAAAUAUUAUAGAGUAAUUACUAACUGAAAUCUAUCACAAUUGGAUGAAGAUAUUAAGUAUAAUAUCUAUAUAAGUAUUGUGUUCGAAUAUUUAACAAACGAGAGGUAACUUAUGGUAAUAGUUUUGUAGCAAUGUAAUCUCAUUUUUUUUCCAUUGGAGACUCCGCAUUAGUUCCCAUGAGACAAGCAAGAAAAAAGAGAGAUUCUCAUAAAAAUUAAAAACAUCAAACACUAAUCAUGUAAACUCUAAUAAUCAUAGCCAUUGAUUUAUUAUAUUUUCUAAAAAGUUAUCCACCACUGUCAUUGUGGAAAUAUUCAAAAAUGAGCUCUAAACCUAUAUCUAAAUUACCGAACUCAGCUAUUAUAAAACAUAAUCUAAAGGAAACCCGUAAUCUUCAUCCAAUUUACUAAUGCUUAUCAUUAUAAAGCAUAACUUAAAAUGUCAUUCUAAAAUUUUAUCUAUGUUACCCACGUAUGUCGUUAUUAAAAGUAACCUAAAGUAAAUACCUAAAUCUUAAUCUAAUUAUCUUCAUGUGCAUCAUAUAGAAAUGUCAAAAAGUAAACUAAUAUAUGAUUCUAAAUUACUUAUUUAUGUCAUUGUUAAUAUAAAAAUACUACAUUAAAGUAUAUAUACAUGAUGAGUGCCACCAUUAGACCAUGUGUACAUGUAUGUGCGGAAUCGAUGAAAAAUAUUGAUUUGUAUGCUAAACAUAAUGUAUAGAGGAUUGGAGGUGCGAUACAAAAUGGAAAAAGUAUGAAUAUGAAUGAAAAAGUGCAUAGAAUAAUUAUCAAUUAAAAAUCAAUCACAACUGGACAAAGAUAGAUACAUAUCUAUAUAAGUAUUAUGUUGAAGUAUUGGAAAAAUAAUAGUAGUAGGUAAACAAUUUUGAUUAUUAGCUAAGAGUUUAAUUUCUAAAUAAUUUUCAAAUCCAAUAGCUUAUAAACACAUUAGCCCGUGCAGGAGCACGGGUUGAUGGACUAGUAUUACUAAUUGGAGGCUCCUUUUGAAGCCUCCAGAUGAAGCCACCUAGGAUUCCUAGGUGGACACUCUAGAAAAAGAGAGAAAUUCUAGAAAUUCUCACAAAAAAGCAAAACAUCCGACCAUCAAUCGACAAAUUCAAAUCAUCAUAACCAUUGGAUCUAUUAUAUUUUCUAAAAAAUUACCCACCUAUACCAUUAUGAAAAUAGCCUAAAGGAACCCCCUAAAUCUAUAUAUAAAUUACCCACCUCUGCCAUUAUAUAAAAUAAACUAAAGUAACGCUCUAAUCUUCAUCAAAAUUACCCACUUAUGCCAUUAUAAACAAUAUUUAAAAUAGCUCUCUAAUUUGCAACUGAAUUGCCUACCACUAUUAUUUUAAAAAACUUAAAGUAACCCCUUAAAUUUGCAUCUAUAUUACCCACACAUGCUAUUAUUAAAAAUAACAUGAGGUAACCCUACGUUUGAAUCAAAUAACCUUAAUUAAAAAUAUACAAUAAUAUAUGAUUCUAAAUCGUCUAUAUCUUACACUAUUGGUAUACGAUAUAAUAAUUAAGGUCUAUACGCAUGAUGUGUGAUGUGUGUCACCAUUUAUAAGGAUAUAAAGUUAUGGGAAUAUACAUUUGUACGCUAAAAUUAUAUUUAGCAUUAUGGAUAGUUCUAUUAAAUUUAUGAGCACUCAAACUUAGGGUUCAUUAAAUAAAUUCAAGCCCAUACAUGCGGUCCAAAGUGGAAAGUUAAAGAUUAUAAAUGUGGAUGAAAAUAUUAUAGAGUAAUUACUAACUGAAAUCUAUCACAAUUGGAUGAAGAUAUUAAGUAUAAUAUCUACAUAAGUAUUAUUUUCGAAUAUUUAACAAACGAGAGGUAGCUUAUGGUAAUAGUUUUAUAGUAAUGUAAUCUCAUUUUUCUCUAUUGGAGACUCCGCAUUAGUUCCCAUGAGACAAGCAAGAAAAAAGAGAGAUUCUCAUAAAAAUUAAAAACAUCAAACACCAAUCCUGUAAACUCUAAUAAUCAUAGCCAUUGAUUUAUUAUAUUUUCUAAAAUAUUAUCCACCAUUGUCAUUGUGGAAAUAUUAAAAAAUAAGCUCUAAACCUAUAUCUAAAUUACCGAGCUCAGCUAUUAUAAAACAUAAUCUAAAGUAACCCCGUAAUCUUCAUCUAAUUUACUAAUGCACAUCAUUAUAAAGCAUAACUUAAAAUGUCAUUCUAAAAUUUUAUCUAUGUUACCCACGUAUGUCGUUACUAAAAGUAACAUAAAGUAAAUACCUAAAUCUUAAUCUAAUUAUCUUCAUGUGCAUCAUAUAGAAAUGUCAAAAAGUAAACUAAUAUAUGAUUCUAAAUUACUUAUUUAUGUCAUUGUUAAUAUAAAAAUACUACAUUAAAGUAUAUACACAUGAUGAGUGCCACCAUUAGGCCAUGUAUACAUGUAUGUGCGGAAUCGAUGAAAAAUAUUGAUUUGUAUGCUAAACAUAAUGUAUAGAGGAUCGGAGGUGCGAUACAAAAUGGAAAAAGUAUGAAUAUGAAUGAAAAAGUGCAUAGAAUAAUUAUUAAUUAAAAAUCAAUCACAACUGGAUAAAGAUAGAUACAUAUCUGUAUAAGUAUUAUGUUGAAGUAUUGGAAAAAUAAUAGUAGUAGGUAAACAAUUUUGAUUAUUAGCUAAGAGUUUAAUUUCUAAAUAAUUUUCAAAUCCAAUAGCUUAUAAAAAUAUUAGCCCGUGCGGGAGCACGGGUUGAUGGACUAGUAUAUAUAAAGACAAUUUUCUAGAAGUUUUAUUAUGCGGGUCACUUAAGGAACAUACGAUUCCUUAUGUGAACCACUACUACAAAACUAAACUUCGAUAUUACCACAUCACUACUGGUUCACGAUGUUAAGAUCAAUUAAUACCGAUUCAAACAUCUCAAACCAGACAAUGAUUCGGCCCGACAUAUUAAUCAAUUCAACUACUCAUGGCCGCUGAAGUGAUGGAAUGUUAAGUCGUCGUCAUGCAUGGUACAAUAGUCGAUGAAGACCUCAAACGCCGCGAAGGGUCAUCAGUCUUCGAUAUAUACCACCUGAUUACAUCUUUGUAAUAUCAUCAAAGCUAACUUAAUUUGUUCUCAUUCAAAACGGGUGAAGAUUCCUAUGUUAUCACGCGAAGUACCUCUUUCCCUUAUUAUUUGUGCUCAACUUGUGAGCAGAGAAUGCUGUAAAAAACAAUUAUCUUUUAAGUGAAAUGGAGAAUUUCUUUUUUAAAAUGAAUAAUAUAAUUCUCCGUUUAACUUAAACAAAAAAUUAUUUUUUAUUAAAUGAAUACAAUUUGUUAAACAACAAAAUGAAUACAAAAUGAAAUCUAAGCAGCACUACUCCAAUAUUUUUUCCAAGUCACACUUGCUCUUGUUGGCCACCAGCCGCCUUGGUUGUUGGUCUGUCCCGGUGGCUACCUCCUCUGUGCACCCGUGAUAUUGAGAUCGAUGGAAGGAUAAGGAACACACAAGUGGGCUAUCUGUCUUUAUCAGAAAAAGAAAAGUGGACUGGAAUGGAAUAUGGUAAGCAAAGCAACGAUAUGCACACAGCUUCUUCUGACCACACAAUAUAUUAUCCAUGCGUUGGGUGACGUAAGCAUGAAAUCCCAUGAUGUCCGUCCACGAUAUAUCUUCGCUCCGAUCUAUACCAAAUCCAAUCCUUUAAUUUCUUUAUGUUGGCCUGCUAAAUGAGUUUAAUUUUUAUUUCUGAGACUCCCAUGUCCCAUGGACUUCAGUAAUUAACUACUUGUUAAAAGAAUACGUAAUUAAGAUCAUAGACAUUUUCAUGCCCACUUUUUGUAGUUUUUUUUUGAAAGACCCACUUUUGGUACUGCCUUGAUGUCUAAAAUGAGUUACAUUUGGAUCCGGGAAGUACUAUGCGUACUGAAAUCGUGAACCUUGCUGAAUUCGAUCGCAAGCACCAUCCUGGAAGUAUAUAUGCUAGAACUGUGGAAAUAUGAGCGUGCAAUCUACCUGCUAGGCCACGGCCAUACCUCAGAAAAUUUGUCGACUGAUCAAAAAUAUUUUGAGAUGAAGAAAUCUGAGGAUUCUUCGAAACCAUGUUGCCAACCUAGCUUCCACUAACAGUCUGCCAAAAGUAGGCCAUGCAAGAGACCAAAGGAGUCAUAUCCAUGCCUUGUUUACUGUUGCCAGUUGCUUAAAAUCACUGAAAGCACGUGGCUGCAGUUUGGAAGAUAUAUAGUUGGGCCAUAUCGUAUAUCCAUCAUGCAUUCAUGGCGGCCACAACAGCGUCUAGCUUGUACACAAGUGGCAAAUUGAUCAAUUUGCAUGCCCAUGAUAGGUCGUCAACAGUCCACGGAUGAUUAUUUUGGUAUAUGUGCUAAUUAUUCAGGACUCUUUAGUCCCGGUAAAAUUUUCACGUGAAAUAUGCGCGUACGCGAUGCAUGGGAUUCAAACCCGCAACCUCUUGCCUCAUGUGUAGCUUCCUUACCAUCUCACCUACACAACACAUCUGACUAAGUAGGGGGUGCUAUCCUUAUGUAUUCACCCGUGGGGGACCCUUUAAUCCUAGAGGUGGCCCUUUAGUCCCGGUCAACUGGGACCAAAGGGGUCUCCAUUACCACGAAGGUGUCUCUACCGACCACGAAAUUAAGAUUAGGGAUUAAAGCCUCUUUAGUACGGGGUCCAAAACUGACCGAGAUCUUUGUUGAGGGUGGAAGGUCAUUUCUCUAACAGUAGCCACUUUCCAAAGAAUUGAUUAGCAAGCUAGGUAGUAAGGCAUGUAUAUAUGUUUUCUCUUUUAUUUUUGCUUGCUAGCGUACUUGCAACUUUUUACUCCCUGUUCAAUUUGAUAUUAAGUGCCAAAGUAAAUAGACAUCUACGCUGUAGAACUCUUUUUUUAGAUAAUGCCUGAAAGCUCCGCCUCUCACAAGUGAGAAGGAGCAAAUCCACAAUUAUUAUACGUAGUGUUUAAACACUAGAUAUGACCACUGGCAAAUAUCAUGACAAAAAAGACAUUAGUUGCCCACACCACCAAAUAAUAACAAAUCUUGAAACUAAAAAGCUAUAAUAACAAAUCUUGAAAUUAACUAAAAGGUCUAUAAAUACAUCGGAGCCAAAGAACUUCAUUACCGACACCACCAAUCAGCAACUCUUUCCGGUGGUCACUGCGGUGCAACUGAGCCCAAAAUUUGCGUCAGCCGAGAAAAAAGUUUUUUAUUGCCAUUUUUCAAAUACAACAUCGUUUCUUGUUAGCCAUUUUGAUACAUACUCUCUCCAUAAGCUACCUCGUAAUAAUCACUAUGCCAGAAUCGAUUUGUAGUGGCACCAGCAAAUUAUUGUGCUGGCAGGCGUGAUUGUCACCCGCCAGCACAGUAGUUUCCUGUGCUAACGGAGAGCACCUGCCCGCACAAUAACCACUGUGGGUUAUUGUGCUGGCGGGCAAUAAUGUCACCCGCCAGUAAUAAUAUUUUUUCCACAUCUCUCCUAAGGAAUAAUAUCUCAAGCGUCCUUAUCCCUUCCCCUCUCUCUCCCGUGGUGAGCUCACUGGAAGAAGACGGGGUCCAUGUAUCCCAUCGUGGUUUGUGCGUCGGCCGAUGGUCUCCUCCAGCGUUUUCACAUGCACCUCUGAGCAGGCGCUGCACGGCUGCCCAGUACGGAGCUGACAUGCGGCAUCGAUGAUGGCUGCCUCGAGCGGACGUGCGGCGGCGUACGGGUGAGGGAGCGACGGGCGUCCAGAUGCGGCAGCAACGAUAGCCUGCGGCGGCGUACGGGCGACGGGCGUGGCAGCAACGACGACCAGCCUUUUUUAUUAUUCCAAAACUCGCUGUGCUGGCGGGCCACCUAACCACCGCUAGCAUAGUAAUCCACCCGCCAGCACAGAGUCCUAUUUGUGUUGGCUCAUGGUUGCUGGUGGGUCUACAGUGACGUUUUAACCGUCACUAAAAAAUCAUUUUUGGCGUAGUGAAUAUCAGUAUGCACAAUAAGGAAGUAAAAAAAAUAGCACGAAAAAAACAAAAAGAACAAAUAAAAUUUUACAUUCAAUCUUGGAUACAGUAAUGCACAUAAUUAAUCUUUUGGUUAGAUACUUUCUGUACAAAUGGAAUAAAUGUGGAUUAGACGCCAAUACCAUUGGCCAAAAGAGCAUGUCAAGAAGAGGUGAUUUGAGGUCUCCUCGACACCAGAACUACAAAGGGCACAGCUAUAAUCAUCAAGAAUUCUCCAUUUCCUGCAAAGGAUAUUCCUUGUGUCUAAUCUAUACUGGAGGCGGAACUACAAAGCGAUGUUUUUUCCCUCUUAAGCUAUAUACAUACGGCCUCAGGGCUCUGCAGGACUCCAAACUGUGUACUCUCUUCAUUAGAGUGAGGUAGAGCAUUAGUAGGGCUCACCCACUCUGAUAAGAUUGUGGAGGGAGGAAACCAUGGCCGCUCCCAACAUAGUUUUUCCACCAAGUCUCCCAACGAGUCUCCCACCAAGUCUCCCACCAAGGAUAAUACAACUGUUGUCACAGCUUUCCUGUUCCUGGCCAUUGUGGCCAUGUUCCUCUUGCAUACACUGGUCCGUUACGCCGAUAGUUCAGCUUUGUGUGACUAUUUCCAUUUGUAAGAAUCGAAAGCUAUAAUUAGCCAACAGGUCAGUCAAUAGAACAGACAAUUAACUUUAAAGGAAGGGACUAGUAUGUGCUACAGUGUAGCACUGUACAGCGUACAGUAGCUAUAGCCCCACGCACCUUGCAUAGAAUCUUGCAAAGCCUGAAAGCCUGAAAUUAAGGGAGACACUUUGACGAGUAGUGACUAGUGACCCGCAUGCAACUGCAAUAGAAUGGCAACCAACUCCAUCACGGGUUGUUCUCCUCGACCAAAAGCAACUAAUCAAGGCAGGCCCUACGAUCAAAGCUAGUCGGUCGUCUCGGUGGUACGCCUUCACUGUGACCCGAUGAUGCACACAUUAUGCAUUUGGCUUCACUGAAUUUAAUUUCUUCCGCUGAGAAGAAAGCAAGUGUAUCGGAAUCUUCAUCUCGCUACCUAGCACACGGAUUCAUAACAACUUUAUGCUUGUGCAGUUGAUUUCCAAAUACAAAAAGAACAGAUAAAGUUUUAUAUUCAAUCUGGUCCGCAGUAAUGCUCGUAAUUAGUCUUUUGCUUAAUGUUAAAACACGUCAAAUUGGGAUAUGCUUGUGCAGUUGAUUUCCAAAUACAAAAAGAACAGAUAAAGUUUUAUAUUCAAUCUGGUCCGCAGUAAUGCUCGUAAUUAGUCUUUUGCUUAAUGUUAAAACACGUCAAAUUGGGAUAUUUGCGCAGGCCACCUUGCUGGUUUGCUUGAAAUAAAAGUAGCAAACAAUUUGACUGGUCUACCGUGAUUUUACCAUUGGCUAAAAGAGCAUGUGAAGAAGAGGUGAUUUGAGGUCUCCUCGAUACCAGAACUACACAGGGCACAGCUAUAAUCAUCAAGAAUUCUCCAUUUUCUGCGAAGGAUAUUCCUUGUGUUUAAUCUGUCCUGUAGGCGGAACUUCAAAGCGAUGGUUUUUCUCUUAAGCUAUAUCCAUGCAUACGGCCUCAGGGCUCUGCAGGGACUACUCCAAAUUAACUGUGUGUACUCUCUUCAUUAGAGUGAGGUAGAGAAUUAGUAGGGCUCACCCACUCUGAUAAGAUUGUGGAGGGAGGAAACCAUGGCCGCUCCCAGCAUGGUUUUUCCUCCAAGUCUCCCACCGAGUCUCCUCCCACCAAGGAUAAUACAACUGUUGUGACAGCUUUCCUGUUCCCGGCCAUGUUCCUCUUGCAUACACGGGGUCCGUUACGCCGGCGGUGGAGCUUUAUUUGUGUGAUUAUAUAUUUCCAUUUGCAAGAAUCGAAAGCUAUAAUUAGCCUCUAGGUCGGUCAACAGAACAGACAAUUAACUUUAAAGGGAGGGACCAGCAUGUGCUACAAUGCAGCACUGUAGUACAGCGUACAGUAGCUAGAGCCCCACCAAGCAUAGAACCUUGAAAGGCCUGAAAUUAAGGGGCCGGCGCACUUGCCCCUUGUUUACUUCAUCCCCAACUUCCAACUUUGACACUAUGCAAAAAGAAGAUUCCCCAUCACAUCAAACUUGCGGUACAUGCAUGGAGUAAUAAAUGUAGACGAAAUUAAAAACUAAUUGCACAGUUUUGUUGUACUUUGCGAGACGAAUCUUUUGAGCCUAAUUAGUCAAUAUUUGGAUAAUAAUUCACAAAUACAAACGAAACGCUACAGUGUGCUACAGUGCUAUAACAGUAAUUUGGCACCUCCCAAUUUUACCAACUAAACAAGGUCUUGGACGCGUAGCGACCCGCAAGCAACUGCCAUAGAAUAAUGGCGCAACAUGCUGGUGGUUCUCCUCGACCAAAAUUAAAGCAACGAAUCAAGGCGGGCCCUUACGAUCAAAGCUAGUCGAUCGUCUCCGUGGUACGCCUUCAUCGUGCCCCGAUGAUGCACACAUUAUGUAUUAUUUGUGUUCACUGAAUUUAAUUUCUUCCGCUGAGAAGAAAGCAAGUGUAUCGGAAUCUUCAUCUCGCUACCUAGCAUGCGGAUCCUACCCUGGUGAUGCUUGGCCAUUUUGAUACUACUGUGUUACUAUAAGGUAGCUCGAUCAUAAUAUCCAUGUCUUGUUUACUGUUGCCAGUUGCUUAAAAUAACUGAAAGCACGUGGCUGCAGUUUGGAAGAUAUAGAGCUGGGGCCAUAUCCGUAUAUCCAUCAUGCAUUCGUGCCCGCCACAACAGCGUCUAGCUAGAUGGUAGGUCGUCAACAGCCCACGGAUGAUUAUUUUGGUAUAUGUGGGCAAACCUUCAACAGUCCUACUAGUUUUGCUUUUCUGCCAGCAUGAACGAACUGACGAAGGUUCCUGCAGAGGUUUCUACUCGAGGUAUGAUGAGUAAUUUCAUCACUUAUGCUCCAAUGUGGAGCUUAACUAGUACGGUCGACGUGUCGACAUGAUGCCCAUAGCACUCGUCGGUGAUAUAUGCAUUUAAGCAUUUGGAAUUUCAUUCUUCAGUUAAGGAAGAAACAAAAGUAGCAAUCUCUUAGGCCCACUGGUGGAAGUGAUCCUUAGUUCCGGUUGGAGAGACGCACAGGUCUUAAAAUUUAAUUGGGACUAAUUAUUUAAGACUAAAGGUCCUCUUAGUCUAGGUAAAUUUUUCACGUAAAAAUUUAUACCGUGAUUUUACCAGAAGGCUUUCAUUCUAUUGGAUAUGGUCUACAGACGCUAUGUUUUUUUCUUAAGCUAGCUAUAUAUAUGCGGCCUCAGGGAUCUCUGGACUCCAAACCAUGUACUCUCUUAAUUAGAGUGAGGUAGAGAACUGGGGCUAGUCCACUCUGAUUAGAUUGUGGGGGAGGAAACCAUGGCUACUGCCGGUAUGGUUUGGGCACCAAGUCCCUCACCAAGUUCCCCUCCCUCGAAAGGUUGCCGUAAGGAUAAUACAGCUGGUGUGGAAGCUUUGGUCUUCCUAGCUGUUGUGGCGAUGUUCCUCUUGCAUAUACUGGGUCCAUUACGCCGGCGGUUUAGCCACGGUCUCCUUCAUCACAUCGUGAUUGGAGUCUACACGCUCUCCUAUCCGCUGGUGGGCUACACCAUUGGGCUGAUGCAGUCUACCACUUGUUACUUCAACGACUUCACCGUGUGGGCUGUGUUCCUGCUUCUGCUCCUCAGCAGCACGGAUAGCCUCACGGCUUGCCGCCUCAACGACAUCGACAACUGGAAGAGCAUCUGCAUCAAACAACUCUUUAAGGGAUUCUUGCUGGUGUCUAUCAUGCUA